rnacentral:miRNA from 1 species
CAUGGUACGAUUGAUGUUGCCUU